UUGUGAAUUCUUCACGGUCUGGGCUGCUCACAUGUGAGCUCUCACGCCAGGCUGCUGCAGAGUAAAUGGAAAAAAAAUUAAUCUGGUGGCCAGUCCGUUAUUAAUGACGUGCUGGGAUCCAGAGCCCUGCAAACGGAUCAAAAGCUGUAGAAAAUGGAUGGAUACACAACAAAACUGCCAUUUGAACAACACUGGGUGCUUUGGGAAUGAAAGUGGCCGCCGCACCUUUCCACGGUUUGCCCACCACGGCCUGCAAUGAGAUGCCUUCAUCCGAGAACUCAAAAUCCCAGCAGUCGGGAGGGUCAACCUGUCUCCUAAGCAUCAAGUCUUCCUUCGACUUCUGCGCCAGGGAAUUGUCAAGCAUAUAAAUUCAUCACGGCAAAGGAGUCAAACGAUGGGCGGAUCUCACGAUUACUGCUGUACCUGCUUGGACGUACCUGGAGUCGUUUUGGACGGAAGACAAGAGAAGUACUUGCUCUUCAAUAAUUUGAGUCAUGCCGGAGCGCAAAUUCUCCGAUACGCACACGUCGAUCCGGCCACUGGCUUUUCCUCUCCCUCCAGAAGGUCCAUGUACAUCACAGCCGCUUGCUCCAUCCACUGCUCUAAACUUCAACCCAGCAGAGAAAAUUCAGACAAAUGUGAGUCUUUCUUUUAUCACUGUAGAAAAUGACAAAAGUAUUUGCAGAUGAAAGUUUGAAGUUACUUUUGUUGAAAUGUCUUAUGCGCAUCCACGUUUGUUUUCAAAUUGUCACAAAAAAGUUCAGGGAGCACCCGGGGUGAUUAGUCUUAAAUUCAAUUUGGGUUCAUUAUUUAAAAAAAAAAAAAAAAG